AUUGAACGCUGGCGGCAGGCUUAACACAUGCAAGUCGAGCGAGCGGCGGACGGGUGAGUCAUGUCUGGGAAACUGCCUGAUGGAGGGGGAUAACUACUGGAAACGGUAGCUAAUACCGCAUACCAUCAGAUGUGCCCAGAUGGGAUUAGCUAGUAGGUGGGGUAACGGCUCACCUAGGCGACGAUCCCUAGCUGGGCUGAGAGGAUGACCAGCCACACUGGAACUGAGACACGGCCCAGACUCCUACGGGAGGCAGCAGUGGGGAAUAUUGCACAAUGGGCGCAAGCCUGAUGCAGCCAUGCCGCGGGUGUGAAGAAGGCCUUCGGGUUGUAAAGCACUUUCAGUGAGGAGGCGUUACUGGCAGAAGAAGCACCGGCUAACUCCGUGCCAGCCGCCGCGGUAAUAC
rnacentral:rRNA from 1 species